UUCUUUCUCUUAAGUUUGGAAAGGAUCAUCCAACAAAUGAGAGAGAAUUAAAGUUCAGGUUCAUGGUACUGAAACAAUCGAAAUCUACGAUGGUGUUGUGUUUGGUGGACUACAUUCUUAAUUUGCUGUUUUGUCUUGACCUUGCAACAUUAUGCAGUUAAUUUUCAACCGAUGAGUGAAAGCAACUGAAGAUUUAUGUGAAUUCCACUGAAAUAAGAAAUUUUCUGCAUUGGCAUUCCUGUUGGAUUUGAUUUGCUCUUCACACCUGCAUACUUUGGAACAUUACGGUCUACAGUUAAUUAAGGUCGACGUUGGAGAAGA